CCUACGGGAGGCAGCAGUGAGGAAUAUUGGUCAAUGGGCGCGAGCCUGAACCAGCCAAGUCGCGUGAGGGAAGACGGUCCUAUGGAUUGUAAACCUCUUUUGUCGGGGAGCAAAAGACGCCACGCGUGGCGUUCCGAGAGUACCCGAAGAAAAAGCAUCGGCAAACUCCGCGCCAGCAGCCGCGGUAAUACGGAGGUUGCGAGCGUUAUCCGGAUUUAUUGGGGUUAAGGGGUGCGCAGGCGGAAGAUCAAGUCAGCGGUAAAAUUGAGGGGCUCAACCUCGACGAGCCGUUGAAACUGGUUUGCUUGAGUGAGCGAGAGGUAGGCGGAAUGCGUGGUGUAGCGGUGAAAUGCAUAGAUAUCACGCAGAACUCCGAUUGCGAAGGCAGCAUACCGGCGCUCAACUGACGCUCAUGCGCGAAAGUGUGGGUAUCAAACAGGAUUAGAUACCCUUGUAGUC
rnacentral:rRNA from 1 species